rnacentral:rRNA from 1 species
GACGUAGGGCGCAAGCGUUGUCCGGAUUUAUUGGGCGUAAAGAGCUCGUAGGCGGUUUGUCGCGUCUGCUGUGAAAACUCGGGGCUUAACUCCGGGCCUGCAGUGGGUACGGGCAGACUAGAGUGCGGUAGGGGAGACUGGAAUUCCUGGUGUAGCGGUGAAAUGCGCAGAUAUCAGGAGGAACACCGGUGGCGAAGGCGGGUCUCUGGGCCGUAACUGACGCUGAGGAGCGAAAGCUAGGGGAGCGAACAGG